AUUGAACGCUGGCGGCAGGCUUAACACAUGCAAGUCGAACGAGUGGCGGACGGGUGAGUAAUGCUUGGGAAUCUAGCUUAUGGAGGGGGAUAACUACGGGAAACUGUAGCUAAUACCGCGUACCAUAGGAUGAGCCCAAGUGGGAUUAGGUAGUUGGUGGGGUAAAGGCUCACCAAGCCGACGAUCUCUAGCUGGUCUGAGAGGAUGACCAGCCACACGGUGACGGUGACACGGCCCAGACUCCUACGCGAGGCAGCGGUGGGGAAUUGUGCGCAAUGGGGGCAACCUGACGCAGCCAUGCCGCGUGAAUGAGGAAGGCCUUCGGGUUGUAGAGUUCUUUCGGUAGCUAGGCGGUAACUACAGAAGAAGCACCGGCUAACUCCGUGCCAGCAGCCGCGGUAAUUC
rnacentral:rRNA from 1 species